GGAUGUGAGGGCGAUCUGGCUGCGACCUCUGUCACCCCAUUGAUCGCCAGGGUUGAUUCGGCUGAUCUGGCUGGCUAGGCGGGUGUCCCCUUCCUCCCUCACCGCUCCAUGUGCGUCCCUCCCGAAGCUGAGCGCUCAAUCAAAGACGAUGACCUUCCCUGAUAGAGGAGAGGACCGUUCCUCGGUCAAGGGAAUACAAGUAGCUGCGCUCCCCUGCUAGAACCUCCAAACAAGCUCUCAAAAACCUGCUGCCCAGAGCCCAUAGGCAGCUUUAU
rnacentral:snRNA from 1 species